AUUUAUAAAACCAAAUUUGGUGCUAGAUUGUAAAUCUUGAAUUUUGAUCAAAAAUUUUUAUUGAUCUAUAAAAA
rnacentral:tRNA from 1 species